CACGUAGGGGGCAAGCGUUGUCCGGAAUUAUUGGGCGUAAAGAGCUCGUAGGCGGCUCGGUAAGUCAGGUGUCAAAUCCUCAGGCUCAACCUGGGGCUCCACCUGAUACUGCUGUGGCUAGAGUCCGGUAGGGGAGCGUGGAAUUCCUGGUGUAGCGGUGAAAUGCGCAGAUAUCAGGAGGAACACCAGCGGCGAAGGCGGCCUUCUGGACGGUGACUGACGCUGAGACGCGAAAGCGUGGGGAGCGAACAGG
rnacentral:rRNA from 1 species